rnacentral:rRNA from 1 species
CGCUAAUACCGCAUACAGCAAUCUGGGGUUCGCCUCGGGUUGGCAAAGGUUGGGACCCGCAAGGGCCAAUCGUCAUAGGAGGGGUCUGCGGCCCAUCAGCUAGUUGGUGAGGUAAUGGCUCACCAAGGCAAAGACGGGUAGCUGGUCUGAGAGGAUGAUCAGCCACACUGGUACUGGAACACGGACCAGACUCCUACGGGAGGCAGCAGUGGGGAAUCUUGGUCAAUGGGCGCAAGCCUGAACCAGCGACGCCGCGUGAGUGAUGAAGGCCUUCGGGUUGUAAAGCUCUGUGGGGAGGGACGAAAGAGGUUCAUCUAAUAGGUGAAUCAGUUGACGGUACCUCCUUAGCAAGCACCGGCUAACUCUGUGCCAGCAGCCGCGGUAA